UACGUAGGGUGCGAGCGUUGUCCGGAAUUAUUGGGCGUAAAGGGCUCGUAGGCGGUUUGUUGCGUCGGGAGUGAAAACUCAGGGCUUAACCCUGAGCCUGCUUCCGAUACGGGCAGACUAGAGGUAUGCAGGGGAGAACGGAAUUCCUGGUGUAGCGGUGAAAUGCGCAGAUAUCAGGAGGAACACCGAUGGCGAAGGCAGGUCUCUGGGCCAUAACUGACGCUGAGAAGCGAAAGCAUGGGGGAGCGGACAGG
rnacentral:rRNA from 1 species